ensembl:lncRNA
GCGGCAUAGAGCGGUGGAGCUAUUAGCUCCGCGCUGCAGACAUCAUUAGGAGUGGAGGGAGACAAUUCCACCGUCAGCGCAGGAACAGGAAGCCCUGGCAACAAGGAGAACACCGCUCUUACCAGACCAUUACACCGUACAAGCCCCAUGUCCUGGGUAGAGAGCCCAGCCCCAGAGGUAGCUAUGUCCUGGGGAGAGAGCCCAGCCCCGGAGGUAGCUAUGUCCUGGGGAGAGAGCCCAGCCCCGGAGGUAGCCAUGUCCUGGAGAGAGAGCCCAGCCCCGGAGGUAGCCAUGUCCUGGAGAGAGAGCCCAGCCCCGGAGGUAGCCAUGUCCUGGAGAGAGAGCCCAACCCUGGAGGUAGCUAUGUCCUGGGGAGAGAGCCCAGCCCCGGAGGUAGCUAUGUCCUGGGGAGAGAGCCCAGCCCCGGAGCUAGCUAUGUCCUGGGGAGAGAGCCCAGCCCUGGAGGUAGCUAUGUCCUGGGGAGAGAGCCCAGCCCCGGAGGUAACCAUGUCCUUGGGAGGUAGCUAUGUCCUGGGGAGAGAGCCCAACCCCGGAGGUAACCAUGUCCUUAGGAGGUAGCUAUGUCCUGGGGA